rnacentral:rRNA from 1 species
GACGAACGCUGGCGGCGUGCUUAACACAUGCAAGUCGAACGAAGAGCGAUGGAAGCUUGCUUCUAUCAAUCUUAGUGGCGAACGGGUGAGUAACGCGUAAUCAACCUGCCCUUCAGAGGGGGACAACAGUUGGAAACGACUGCUAAUACCGCAUACGAUCUGACCUCGGCAUCGAGGAUAGAUGAAAGGUGGCCUCUACAUGUAAGCUAUCACUGAAGGAGGGGAUUGCGUCUGAUUAGCUAGUUGGAGGGGUAACGGCCCACCAAGGCGAAGAUCAGUAGCCGGUCUGAGAGGAUGAACGGCCACAUUGGGACUGAGACACGGCCCAGACUCCUACGGGAGGCAGCAGUGGGGAAUCUUCCGCAAUGGACGAAAGUCUGACGGAGCAACGCCGCGUGAGUGAUGACGGCCUUCGGGUUGUAAAGCUCUGUUAAUCGGGACGAAAGGCCUUUUUGCGAAUAGUGAGAAGGAUUGACGGUACCGGAAUAGAAAGCCACGGCUAACUACGUG